rnacentral:SRP_RNA from 1 species
GCUGGGCAUGGUGGCGCAUGCCUAUAAUCCCAGCUACUCGGGAGGCGGAGGCAGGAGAAUCACUCGAGCCCGGGAGGCGGAGGUUGCAGUGACCCAAGAUCACUGCGCUCCAGCCUGAGCGACAGAGUGAGACUUUGUCUCAA